rnacentral:rRNA from 1 species
GGGUUGUGAGGUUAAGCCGACUAAGCGUACACGGUGGAUGCCCGGCAGUCAGAGGCGAUGAAGGACGUGCUAAUCUGCGAUAAGCGUCGGUGAGGUGAUAUGAACCGUUAUAACCGGCGAUUUCCGAAUGGGGAAACCCAGUGUGUUUCGACACACUAUCAUUAAACUGAAUCCAUAGGUUAAUGAGGCGAACCGGGGGAACUGGAAACAUCUAAGUACCCCGAGGAAAAGAAAUCAACCGAGAUUCCCCAGUAGCGGCGAGCGAACGGGGAGGACCCAGAGCCUGAAUCAUGGUGUGUUAGUGGAAGCGUCUGGAAAGGCGCGCGAUACAGGGUGACAGCCCCAGUACACAAAAAUGCACAUAUUGUGAGCUCGAUGAGUAGGGCGGGACACGUGGUAUCCUGUCUGAAUAUGGGGGACCAUCCUCCAAGGCUAAAUACUCCUGACUGACCGAUAGUGAACCAGUACCGUGAGGGAAAGGCGAAAAAAGAACCUCGGCGAGGGGAGUGAAAAGAACCUGAAACCGUGUACGUACAAGCAGUGGGAGCCUCUUAAUGGGGUGACUGCGUACCUUUGUAUAAUGGGUCAGCGACUUAUAUUCUGUAGCAAGGUUAACCGAAUAGGGGAGCCGAAGGGAAACCGAGUCUUAACUGGGCGUUAAGUUGCAGGGUAUAGACCCGAAACCCGGUGAUUCAGCCAUGGGCAGGUUGAAGGUUGGGUAACACUAACUGGAGGACCGAACCGACUAAUGUUGAAAAAAUUAGCGGAUGACUUGUGGCUGGGGUGAAAAGGCACAAUCAAACCGGGAGAUAGCUGGUUUCUCCCCGAAAGCUAUUUAGGUAGCGCCUCGUGAAUUCAUCUCCGGGGGUAGAGCACUGUUUCGGCAAGGGGGUCAUCCGACUUACCAACCCGAUGCAAACUGCGAAUACCGGAGAAUGUUAUCACGGGAGACACACGGCGGGUGCUAACGUCCGCUGUGAAGAGGGAAACAACCCAGACCGCCAGCUAAGGUCCCAAAGUCAUGGUUAAGUGGGAAACGAUGUGGGAAGGCCCAGACAGCGGGAUGUUGGCUUAGAAGCAGCCAUCAUUUAAAGCGUAAUAGCUCACUGGUCGAGUCGGCCUGCGCGGAAGAUGUAACGGGGCUAAACCAUGCACCGAAGCUGCGGCAGCGACACUAUGUGUUGUUGGGUAGGGAGCGUUCUGUAAGCCUGUGAAGGUGGCCUGUGAGGGUUGCUGGAGGUAUCAGAAGUGCGAAUGCUGACAUAAGUAACGAUAAAGCGGGUGAAAAGCCCGCUCGCCGGAAAGACCAAGGGUUCCUGUCCAACGUUAAUCGGGGCAGGGUGAGUCGACCCCUAAGGCGAGGCCGAAAGGCGUAGUCGAUGGGAAACAGGUUAAUAUUCCUGUACUUGGUGUUACUGCGAAGGGGGACGGAGAAGGCUAUGUUGGCCGGGCGACGGUUGUCCCGGUUUAAGCGUGUAGGCUGGUUUUCCGUGCAAAUCCGGAAAAUCAAGGCUGAGGCGUGAUGACGAGGCACUACGGUGCUGAAGCGACAAAUGCCCUGCUUCCGAGGAAAAGCCUCUAAGCAUCAGGUAACAUCAAAUCGUACCCCAAACCGACACAGGUGGUCAGGUAGAGAAUACCAAGGCGCUUGAGAGAACUCGGGUGAAGGAACUAGGCAAAAUGGUGCCGUAACUUCGGGAGAAGGCACGCUGAUAUGUAGGUGAAGCGACUUGCUCGUGGAGCUGAAAUCAGUCGAAGAUACCAGCUGGCUGCACUGUUUAUUUAAAAACACAGCACUGUGCAAACACGAAAGUGGACGUAUACGGUGUGACGCCUGCCCGGUGCCGGAAGGUUAAUUGAUGGGGUUAGCGGUAACGCGAAGCUCUUGAUCGAAGCCCCGGUAAACGGCGGCCGUAACUAUAACGGUCCUAAGGUAGCGAAAUUCCUUGUCGGGUAAGUUCCGACCUGCACGAAUGGCGUAGAUGGCGGGGCUGUCUCCACCCGAGACUCAGUGAAAUUGAACUCGCUGUGAAGAUGCAGUGUACCCGCGGCAAGACGGAAAGACCCCGUGAACCUUUACUAUAGCUUGACACUGAACAUUGAGCCUUGAUGUGUAGGAUAGGUGGGAGGCUUUUGAAGUGUGGACGCCAGUCUGCAUGGAGCCGACCUUGAAAUACCACCCUUUAAUGUUUGAUGUUCUAACGUUGGGCCCCUUACCGGGGUUGCGGACAGUGUCUGGUGGGUAGUUUGACUGGGGCGGUCUCCUCCUAAGAGUAACGGAGGAGCACGAAGGUUGGCUAAUCCCGGUCGGACAUCAGGAGGUUAGUGCAAUGGCAUAAGCCAGCUUGACUGCGAAACGCGUGACGGCGCGAGCAGGUGCGAAAGCAGGUCAUAGUGAUCCGGUGGUUCUGAAUGGAAGGGCCAUCGCUCAACGGAUAAAAGGUACUCCGGGGAUAACAGGCUGAUACCGCAAGAGUUCAUAUCGACGGCGGUGUUUGGCACCUCGAUGUCGGCUCAUCCAUCCACGGGGCUGAAGUAGGUCCUAAGGGUAUGGCUGUUCGCCAUUUAAAGUGGUACGCGAGCUGGGUUUAGAACGUCGUGAGACAGUUCGGUCCCUAUCUGCCGGGCGCUGGAGAACUGAGGGGGCUGCUCUAGUACGAGAGGACCGGAGUGGACGCAUCACUGGUGUUCGGGUUGUCAUGCCAAUGGCACUGCCCGGUAGCUAAAUGCGGAAGAGAUAAGUGCUGAAAGCAUCUAAGCACGAAACUUGCCCCGAGAUGAGUUCUCCUGACUCCUUGAGAGUCCUGAAGGAACGUUGAAGACGACGACGUUGAUAGGCCGGGUGUAAGCGCAGCGAUGCGUUGAGCUAACCGGUACUAAUGAACCGUGAGGCUUAACCUUACAACGCCGAAG